rnacentral:rRNA from 1 species
AUGCUUAAAGAGGGGCUUGCGCCACAUUAGUUAGUUGGUAGAGUAAAAGCCUACCAAGACGAUGAUGUGUAGCUGGACUGAGAGGUUGAACAGCCACAUUGGGACUGAGACACGGCCCAAACUCCUACGGGAGGCAGCAGUAGGGAAUUUUCGGCAAUGGAGGAAACUCUGACCGAGCAACGCCGCGUGAACGAUGAAGUAUUUCGGUAUGUAAAGUUCUUUUAUUGAAGAAGAAAAAGUAGUGGAAAAACUAUAUUGACGUUAUUCAAUGAAUAAGCCCCGGCUAACUAUGUGCCAGCAGCCGCGGUAAGACAUAGGGGGCGAGCGUUAUCCGGGAAUUAUUGGGCGUAAAGGGUGCGUAGGCUGUUAGAUAAGUCUAUAAUUUAAUUUCAGUGCUUAACGCUGUCUUGUUAUAGAAACUGUCUUGACUAGAGUGAGAUAGAGGCAAGCGGAAUUCCAUGUGUAGCGGUAAAAUGUGUAAAUAUAUGGAGGAACACCAGAAGCGUAGGCGGCUUGCUGGGUCUUUACUGACGCUGAGGCACGAAAGCGUGGGUAGCAAACAGGAUUAGAUACCCUGGUAGUCCACGCCGUAAACGAUGAGUACUAAGUGUCGGGGUAAAACUCGGUACUGAAGUUAACACAUUAAGUACUCCGCCUGAGUAGUACGUACGCAAGUAUGAAACUUAAAGGAAUUGACGGGACUCCGCACAAGCGGUGGAUCAUGUUGUUUAAUUCGAAGAUACACGAAAAAUCUUACCAGGUCUUGACAUACUCUGCAAAGCUAUAGAAAUAUAGUGGAGGUUAUCAGGGAUACAGGUGGUGCAUGGUUGUCGUCAGUUCGUGUCGUGAGAUGUUAGGUUAAGUCCUAAAACGAACGCAACCCUUGUCGUUAAUUGCCAGCACAUAAUGGUGGGGACUUUAACGAGACUGCCAAUUAAACAUUGGAGGAAGGUGAGGAUUACGUCAAAUCAUCAUGCCCCUUAUGAUCUGGGCUACAAACGUGAUACAAUGGCUGUGACAAAGAGUAGCUGAAACGCGAGUUUUUAGCCAAUCUCAAAAAAGCAGUCUCAGUUCGGAUUGAAGUCUGUAACUCGACUUCAUGAAGUU